rnacentral:sRNA from 1 species
GCUGUUUAGCGCUGCUGAACUGCUAUUGUCAAAACCUGAUAAAGUUCAAGAGUGUCAAUGUCUUAUGACGGGAAGGAAAUAAUUUCAAAUAUUGUAUAAAUGUCUAUAUAUUUGCAUACCAAUGAGCUCAAACCACAUUGUGAAGAAAACUACAGCAGUCCAUGGCAAUGAGCCAACUAUGCCCUGCAAGACAAUGAUUUGAAAUGUUCGCACUUUCAUGACAGAUCUUGCUGCUAUCCAGGAAUCCUUCCAGAUGGACUGUGGAGGAAAAAUACCAUUACCGAUCAAAUGCGACCUG